CCCUUAGAUGUUCUGGGCCGCACGCGCGCUACACUGACGAUGGCAACGAGUUUUUCCUUCGCCGAAAGGUGUGGGUAAUCUUUUGAAACAUCGUCGUGCUGGGGAUAGAUCAUUGCAAUUUUUGAUCUUGAACGAGGAAUUCCUAGUAAGCGCGAGUCAUCAGCUCACGUUGAUUACGUCCCUGCCCUUUGUACACACCGCCCGUCGCUACUACCGAUUGAAUGGUUUAGUGAGGACUCCUGAUUGGCGCCGCCGCCCCGGCAACGGAGCAGCGGACUGCCGAAAAGUUGUUCAAACUUGAUCAUUUAGAGGAAGUAAAAGUCGUAACA
rnacentral:rRNA from 1 species